rnacentral:lncRNA from 1 species
GACCAAUACUUGUUACAAAGAAUAAUAAAUAUUACAUCAGUAAUAUUAUAAACCAAUUGUGAAACAUUUAAGAAAUAGAUAUACCUUUUGAUGGUCAGACAUAAAAGUGCAUGAAUCACAUACUUCAGUACCCCCAAGGUCUUCUAUCAACAACUCCAAAAAUCAUGUCCAAGUUUCUUUGUUCUCUACUUCCACAAUUGCAUAUGCUAGAGGUAACAUCUACUCAUUAGGAUCUCUACAAAGAGUGGUUAAUAACUCCCCCU